rnacentral:rRNA from 1 species
CCUACGGGAGGCUGCAGUGGGGAAUAUUGGGCAAUGGGCGCAAGCCUGACCCAGCAACGCCGCGUGAAGGAAGAAGGCUUUCUGGUUGUAAACUUCUUUUCUUAGGGACGAAGAAAGUGACGGUACCUCAGGAAUAAGCCACCGCUAACUACGUGCCAGCAGCCGCUGUAAUACGUAGGUGGCAAUCGUUAUCCGGAUUUAUUGGGUGUAAAGGGCGUGUAGGCGGGAAAGCAAGUCAGAUGUGAAAUCUCAGGGCUCAACCCUGAGCCUGCAUUUGAAACUGUUUUUCUUGAGUGCUGGUGAGGCAAUCGGAAUUCCGGGUGUAGCGGUGAAAUGCGUAGAUAUACGGAGGAACACCAGUGGCGAAGGCGGAUUGCUGGACAGUAACUGACGCUGAGGCGCGAAAGCGUGGGGAGCAAACAGGAUUAGAUACCCGGGUAGUC